GCGCCAUUAGCUCAGCUGGCAGAGCAACUGACUCUUAAUCAGUGGGUCCCUGGUUCGAUCCCAGGAUGGCGCACCA
rnacentral:tRNA from 1 species